rnacentral:rRNA from 1 species
UACGUAGGGGGCUAGCGUUGUCCGGAUUUAUUGGGCGUAAAGAGCGUGUAGGCGGCCAGACAGGUCUGCUGUGAAAACUCGAGGCUCAACCUCGAGAUGUCGGUGGAAACCGUCUGGCUAGAGUCCGGAAGAGGAGAGUGGAAUUCCUGGUGUAGCGGUGAAAUGCGCAGAUAUCAGGAAGAACACCGAUGGCGAAGGCAGCUCUCUGGGACGGUACUGACGCUGAGACGCGAAAGCGUGGGGAGCGAACAGG